rnacentral:rRNA from 1 species
UACGUAGGGGGCAAGCGUUGUCCGGAUUUAUUGGGCGUAAAGAGCGUGUAGGCGGUCCGGUAAGUCAGCUGUGAAAGUCAAGGGCUCAACCCUUGAAUGCCGGUUGAUACUGUCGGGCUAGAGUCCGGAAGAGGCGAGUGGAAUUCCCGGUGUAGCGGUGAAAUGCGCAGAUAUCAGGAAGAACACCCGUGGCGAAGGCGGUUCUCUGGGACGGUACUGACGCUGAGACGCGAAAGCGUGGGGAGCAAACAGG